AUUCUUUGCUACAAACUUGGGCCUGAAAGGCAGGUGGGGUAAAGGAACAGCACUAGUCUUAGAACCAGCCUUUUACUGGCUAUGACACCUUGAGCUAGUCCCUUGGCUUGUCUGAGCCUCAGUUUGUCCUUCUGGAAGGUAAGGAUUAUGAUGAAAUUAUCCUCAAAGUAGGGGUGGCAGGCAAACACUAGCAGGCCCUGGAUAAAUGCAUGUGAAUGGCUCUCCAGAUUGCUGGAUUCCAGUUCUGCCUGGCUGUGUUUUUUUUUGUUUUGUUUUGUUUUUUGAGACAGAGUCACGCUCUGUCACCCAGGCUGGAGUGCAGUGGUGCAAUCUCGGCUCACUACAAGCUCUGCCUCCCAGGUUCACGCGAUUCUCCUGCCCAAGCCUCCUGAGUAGCUGGGAUUACAGGCAUGCACCAACACGCCUGGCUAAUUCUGUAUUUUUAGUAGAGGCGGGGGUUUCUCCAUGUUGGUCAGGCUGGUCUCGAAUUCCUGACCUCAGGUGAUCCGCCCGCCUCAGCACUCCCAAAGUACUGGGAUUACAGCUGUGAGGCACCGCACCCAGCCAAAAAUUUCCAGUUGCUUUCUUUUCUUUUUGAGAUAGAGUUUCACUCUUGUUGCCCAGACUGGAGUGCAAUGGCACGAUCUCGACUCACUGCAACCUCUGCCUCCUGGGUUCAAGCAAUUCUCCUGUCUCAGCCUCCCAAGUAGCUGGAAUUACAGGCGUGUGCUACCAUGCCCAGCAAUUUUUUUUUUUUUUUUUUCAGUAGAGAUGGAGUUUCACCAGGCCAGGCUGAUCUCGAACUCCUGACCUCAGGUGAUCCACCCGCCUCAGCCUCCCAAAGUGAUAGGAUUAUGAUUACAGGCGUGAGCCACUGCGCCCUGCCUGGGCUGUGGUCUUUAACUGGCUGAGAGCCUUCAGAUGAGAACACUCUGAGCCUCAGUCUCCUUCAAUGGAGGCACUGGACAGCAGGAAGUCAGAGAAGACUUUCAGUGCUAACUGCUCAGUUUUUAUCAAAGCAACUGUGAAUUGUAGAAAGGGGAAAAUUAGCUCUGAAGUAUUUAAGAGGAAAAUGGGGAAUUUUCUUGGAAUUGAUUGAACAUGUUUUAAGACAUCACAAGGAUGCCUCCAAACCUGCUUGACUAUGAACAAUGACUUGUUCUCCUCCAAGGACUAGAUAUGGAGUCUUAUGCUGACCAGGCUGGUCUUGAACUCCUGACCUCCAGUGAUCCUCCAUCUCAGCCUCCCAAAGCCCUGGAAUUACAGGUAUGAGCCACCAUGCCCAGCAGUAGUAAAGAUGAAAUGAGAGGUGAAAAUAACGAGACUAAACACAUAAUGAAAGCCAGAAUACACUGUCAGUCACAAAGAAUAGACACAACUGUGAAUGAAGUCUGACUGAGCCACUUCCUCAAUGUGUGCCCUGGCUGUUCUGAGUCUCAGUUUCCACAAUUUAUACAUUGGAGAAAAUAACUCCUUCCUCACUAGGCUUGUGAGAGGAUCCCAGGAGGUCAUUUACCUGAUAUGUGCCUGAUGCCUGACAGGUGCUCACUAAAUGCUAACUGCUAUUGUAGUUACCUUGUUACUUUCUCCAAAUAGGACACAUUCAGGGAGAAAUGUAAGGGAACCAUAUACAGGGAAAUGGUUAGGCAUUUCUUCCAUGCCUACUUUUCCAAUGAGGAAACUAAAACUCAGAGGUCAGGUGAGCUGCCUUGGGUCAUACAGCAAGCAAGAGUCUGACUGAGCCCACCACUGAAGGCCCCCUGACUAUGGGGCCAAAUGAGGUUCUCUUUUCCCUGAACCACAUGGAGGUGGCUUGUCUGUGGUGUUACAAGUGGUUCAGACUGGCUAGUGUAACACAGAGAUUCUGAGAACCUUGUGGGAAGGGCCCUGUAAUGAGUUAUCGGAGGACUUUGGUGCUUUAGGGACAGAGAGGUUGCUUGUGGCAUAGUCUUGGAUGUACAGAUUAGGUACAGCAUCUUGGGAAGAAGAGAUAGGGAAAGAUGCAAGGAAGGAAAUGAAAUGCAUAUUUAUUAUGCACCUACCAUAAGCUGGAUGUUUCCCAAUAUGCUAUCUUUUUUAAUCCCCACAAAACUCAGAGGACCUCUAAGAUACAAUAUACUCAUUUUACAGGCAAGGUUAUUGAAGAUCACACAGGCUGAAGAAGGGCUGCUGAAUUCUUCAAUAUGAACCAUCCCUUUGAUAAGAAACUGAGUGGGCCUGGUUCUUCUCAUCCCAGGAGAGCUCUGGUGUGCUUCCUGGCAUAUAAGUGAGUGGGAAAGGCUCUGCCAGUCCCCAGUCCCCCACCCCUCUUGCCACUCAGCCUCAAUCUGUCAACCAGGCCAGCUAGCCCGUCUAUUAAUGCUGACAUUGAUUUGGAUCAAUCAAGAUCCCAUAAUUACUGGGAGUUUUAAUCAACUCAUGCCAAUUCAGCUGCCGCUCAAUUUGUGCUGGACUUCGGUGCUCACAAGGAGGGAAGCGGCGAGGGUGGGGUGGGGCGGGGGGAGGGCAUGCAAAAAGGAUUACAGGGAUCAAUAGUCCUUGGUAAUGAAGGACAGCAGCUGCAGGCACCACCAGGGGGCCUGAGACUUCAGAGUGGAGGAGACAGAGCCUGCCCCCAUCCCCCAGGAGAGCUCCCUGGCAGAGAAUGAAAACCACGCCCCUGCUUCACCUCUGCCUACACCUGGAUCUGGAAACCACUUAGGCACUACCAGGCAGCACCUGUUCUCUGCAGGGUCCAACCCUCAGUAUCUCUCUCCACAUUUUGCCCUCAGCCAGGCCUGGCCUCCUCUUCCUGAAGAAUCUUAUGUAUCCUUCAGAGCCAGCAAUCCCAUUACUGGGUAUACAUCCAAAAGAAAAUAAAUCGUUCUACCAAAAAGACACACGCAACCGUGUGUUCAUUGUUGCCCUAUUCACAAUAGCAAAGACAUGGACUCAACCUGUGCCCAUCAACUGGUGGAUUGGAUUUAAAAAAAUGUGGUGUGUAUACACUUGAAAUACUAUGCAGCCAUAAAAAAAUCAUGUCCUUUGCAGCAAUAUGGAUGCAGCUGGAGGCCAUUAUCCUAAGCUAAUUAACACAGGAAGAGAAAACUAAAUACCGCAUGUUCUCACUUAUAAGUGGGAGCUAGGACGGGCGUGGUGGCUCAUGCCUGUAAUCCCAGUGCUUUGGGAGGCCAAGGUGGAUAGAUCACCUCAGGUCAGGAGUUUGAGAUCAGCCUGGCCAACAUGGUGAAACCCCAUCUCUACUAAAAAUACAACAAAUUAGCCAGGGGUGGUGGCGGGCACCUGUAAUCUCAGGUACUCGGGAGGGUGAUGGGGGAGAAUUGCUUGAACUCGGGAGGCAGAUGUUGCAGUGAGCCAAGAUCGUACCAUUGCAUUCCAGCCUGGGCAACAUGAGCAAAACUCUGUCUCAAAAAAAAAAAAAAAAAGUGGGAGCUAUAUAUUGGGUACUUAUGGACAUUAAAAUGGCAAUAAUAGACACUGGGGACUACCAGAUGGGGGAAGGAGGCAGGGAGGUGAAAGGGAAGAAACAGGUGCAAGGAUUAAAAAACUACUUAUUGGGCACUACGCUUAGUACCUGAGUGAUGGGAUCAAUUGUACUGCAAACCUCAGAAUCACACAAUAUAUCCAGGUAACAAACCUGCACAUGUACCCUCUGAAGCUAAAAUAAAUGUUGAAAUUAUUUUUUAAUCAAAUUUUAAAAAACUCUGUAAAUUAUUUCUCAGCAGUCUCUGUGGUUAUGUUCCUGAGUUCAAAAAGCAGAAGAAUGCUGAGGAGACAAAAAAAUAAAAAUAAGAUUAAUCCAGAUACUGUCAUUUCCUAGCUGUGUGACUUCAGGCAAGUCACUGCACUUUUCUGGUCCUGUUUUUCCUGUUCUAAAAUAGACUCAAUAAUAAAUAACCGCCUCCUGGGAUUGCUGGGAACAUUGAGUGCUGUCACGAAUGAAAAAUCCUUGUGUGGAAGUUCCUUCUUCCUUUUGAUGUCCCACAUCAGAAAGAAUCAGUUUUCUUUUUCUCCCAUGUUCAUUAUUCUUCUCCUAGCACAAGCUUUAUUCUGCCAGGUGGGACGGUUUCUGGGUCACAGUCUGUUUCCCUACGAGUCCACAGCUAUUUGGGGACAGGGACUGUAAUACACACAGCUUCCUUUUCUCAGUCCAGCACGUGGGAGGGAGACAAGCCAGUAUGCAAGGCAAAUGUGGCCUUUGGGGUCAAGCAAGCUUGGGCUUGAAUCCCACCUGUCUUUGCCACUUACUAACCAUGUAAUGUUAGCCAGUCACUUCGUUAACAUUUGAACCUCAACUUCCUCAAAGUAAAAUGAGCCUAAUUACACCUACUCAGAAUUGCUACGGAGGAAAAAAAAAAAAACAAAAAGUUAGACAUUUAAUGUCCCUAACAUAGUAUCUAGCACAAUGGUAAGAUCCUGAUUGUUAUAAAAGUUGCUAUUAUGAUUAUUAUCACUCUUAAUAUUCAGUGCUCAGUAAAUAUUUUUGGAAUGUAAUAAAAUGUCUGGUUGUAUUGCUUAGUUUUGGCUUGAGUUCCAAUGAAAUACCAACAGGCCAUUAUCCCCACAUGCCAGCCAUCUGUGCAGCCUUCAACACACACUUACUGAAGACACCAGAAAGGAAAUUCAAAUGCUUUCAGGACACACUGUGGGCCAGGCACUAUAGGAAGUGUUUUCCUUAUACUGCUUUGCUGAAGGCCCACACUUCUAUGAGAUUGCUGUUAUUGCUGUUAUUAGCUUGAUGUCUGCAGAAGAGAAAACUGAGGCUUUGUGGCUGGAUAUGUCUUUCCUUGUAGUUCUAGCAGAACCAGGGUGCAAACAUGGGGGCGUUUGACUCCAGGCCCCUGCUCUCUCCACUGUACCAUACCAUUCUUUCUUUUUUUUGAGACGGAGUCUCACUGUGUUGCCCAGGCUGGAGUGUGGUGGUGCGAUCUCGGCUCAAUGCAAGCUCCACCUCCCGGGUUCACGCCAUUCUCCCGCCUCAGCCUCCCGAGUAGCUGGGACUACAGGCGCCUGCCACCAUGCCUGGCUAAUUUUGUUUCUCUUAUUUUUAGUAGAGACGGGGUUUCACCGUGUUAACCAGGAUGGUCUCGGUCUCCUGACCUCGUGAUCCGCCCGCCUCGGCCUCCCAAACGUACCAUUCCUUUCUUGUGGAGGCACCAAGAAGUAGAAAAUGUGAGAGUUCCCGACUUCAGGAAGAAUCUAGACCAAUGGUAGAGAUCAGCCUCAUGGAGAGAGGUGCUGACGCCAUUUGGAAGAAUAAUAUCCUGAGGUGCAGAGAUGUAAGAGAACUUCCCAAGAUCAUACAGUGAUUAGAUGUGGGGCGGGACAGAGGCUCCACUCAGGUCUGCACUGCUACAAAGCUGUACCCUCUGGGCUGAUGGCAUGGCUCAGUGAAGGAGCUCUCUCUGUUCCCAAGGCAGAGGCUCUAACUGUCUUCACCUGGGUUCAAGGCGCUGGGAGGAAAAUGAACAUCUGUUGUGUACCCCCCAUACACCAGACACACUGCUAGGCUAUGCUAAUUUAUGAAAUCUUCCCAACAACCCAGAAAAGAAUGCACCAUUAUUUUCACCACUCACAGAUGGAAAACAGGCUUGGAGAGGGAAGAUGACUUGCUUCAGGUCCUCACCAUAGAUGCUUGGAUGUCUUUCUGUUUUCAGAAGCCUCAUGUCCUAUUACUUCUCUGAGUAGCACAGAGCCGAGGGAAUUUUGCUACAGAUCAAGUGCAGGGAGGUAUUUGGGGAAAAUAGCUUAUUGUGACAUUGCCUGAGCACUUGACUAUGAAACCAGGUCUCCUCCUAAGAGCAUUGAAUGUGCAUUAACUCAUUCCCUCCUCAAAGCAAACCUAUGUGGCAAACACCAAACACCAAUAUCAUGCCCACUUAACAGAUGGAGAAUCUGAAGCGCAGCACGAAGAGGUGUAUUAACUUGAUGAAGGUCACACGGCCAAGAGCAAUUUAAAAGAAGAAAAAAAAUCCUUCUCUGAAUGGAGACAGAUGCCAUAUAUGUUGGACCCUCAGGGGAUUGAAAAGGAUGAGGUUCCCAAGUCCAGUGUUCUGGGGACGGACGUGGGUGGAAGGAAACUCACAAGUGAUGGGAAUCCAGGAUCAACUGCAACACCCACAGCAAGGCCAGCAAGGCACUAACCACCCAGUCCAGGGCAGGGCCCUUCAAGGUUUUAUUCCCAAGGCCUCCCCAGUAGCCUGUCUGACUGUUCUCUACAUGCUAUUUACUGAGUACUAAAUAUUGAGUGAUGGGUGAAGUGCACAUCAUCCCCCUUAACUUUCCCCACAACUCCAUGUUGAGAUGCUGUUGUACAUAUGAGAACACAGAUACUACAUUGCCCAAUGUCAUCAACUAGAACAGCAGGAAUCUGUGUGCUGGGAAGCCAGACCCCAGAACCAGUGCUCUCAAAUCCCCACCAAUGUCAUCUAGUGGUUACUGGAGUCCUUAUUUUGGAGUCCUGAUAUCCAUGCUACCAAUUCCUAUCUGAGUGACAAUGAACAUGUCACUUCCCUUUCUGAGUUGGCUUCCACACUCACAGGAUGGAGACUGAGAUACCAUUUUGCUAGGGUGUUAUCAAGAUUCAGAGAUCCAAAGUUACACUUAAAAGUCAUUUGAGACAUUUGUUCUUUUUUUCUACCCCACCCCCUGCCUAAAAGGUUCUCCUCUUACCCAGGAUGAACUCAAGAUGUAACAUUUUAAAAUGAGCCUUAGGAAAAAACCUGCAAGGGUUGGUACCAGCUGGAGAAAAAUAAAUACGCUCAUGUGGGUGCCAAAGAUUCAAAAGAGAGAAGCAGCAGCCCAAACCAGAGUCUACACCAGAGGGAAUCAUUAUGGAAGGAGAAAGUUCAUCCUAUCAUUGUGCAGAAAGGAAGGAUCCAUGUGUGACUCUAGGGAGUAGGAUCCAAAGCAUCAUUUUCUAGCUCUGUAAAUAGACUAUGGACUCUUUGCUAGUUAGGACACAGUAUCUUUCUAAUGUUAGGGCCCAGAAGAGGGUCUUACACAGCAGUACUUAGUUGUUGAGCUCUGAAUGCAGCUAAAAUUCAACUGUGGGUUGUCUAAUAACCAGUUUUUGCUUCAACCAAAGGCAAGUUUGAUCUAGUUUGAUAAGAUGUGCUAGAUGCUGGAGAAUCCAUUACCAACAGUCAAGAAUCACAUAAAAGAGCUGCUCUAUGCAUACCUAAGUGGGAAAACUGUAAAAAAAACAUGAUUAGCAUAAAAGACAGGGUCUUGGCCACUUCCAGAAGGGAGGACAGGGUUACAAUUGGAAAUGGAGGCAUGGUGGGUGUGUUGGGGGAGGGCUUAUGGAAUGCAGGCAAUAUUCUAUUUCUUGACAUGGGUGAUGGUUUAGGUGAGAAUUGCUUAAUUCGUAUCAAAACUGUAAAUAAUGUUUUACAUAUUUUUCUAUAUAUUAUAUUGCACAGUAAAAUUGCUAAACAUCUAUCUAUCUAUCUAUCUAUCUAUCUAUCUAUCUAUCUAUCUAGUUAUCUAUCUAUCUUAUAGUAAAUCUACUAAAAGGACAUGUCAAAAUGUUAGUAGUAGCUAUUUGGAGGUGACAUGACUAUGGGUGAUAUUGUUCUUUAUUUUUUCUCUAUAUGUCCUAAAUAUUCUUGUAUGUGCAUAUAAUAAUUUCAUAAUUAAAAAAAAACACGUUUUAGUUGAAUUGCUUCAUUACCUAAAUAAGGCAACAACAAAAACGUGAAGGUCAGUUCCACCACUUCUGCCUGAAAUUCCUCCAAUGGAGAACCUCAUCUUCUCCCUAAGGUUCAAUGUGCAUGAAAGAACAGCUCUGCAGAGUAAGUUGAGGGGUGCCAAAUCCCACUGGCUCUUAUAUAGGCCUAUCUGCAGUGUCUUCCCCCUCUGGAACCAAGUACAUCUUUGACUUAGGUACUGUGGCGGGAAAGGGAGAUGCCCCAGAGAGAAUCAAGUUUAACUCUGAAUUUGUAGGAAGGACAGGAGCAUAGCUGAGGAUUCACAGUAAACAGAGUCAUGUUGAGAAACAGGGUCCCUUCAUCACCUCGGACUGUAUUAUCCCCAUGAUCAUGGGCCUGAAAAAUCACCUUUCCCUUUCAGUGAUGAUGAAGAAAAUUUCUGAAAACCAAGGAAAGCCAGAAAAGGCUACUAAGUUUCCUAGCUCAACAAGCUCCUCUCUACACAAUAGGACCUGAUCUUAGGAAGGGAGGCCAUGGCCCUGGGUUUUGCUCAUGCCUGGCUACUUUCACUGGGUCCGGCCAACAAUAUUGUAAGGUGCAGGGAUCAUUCCCAUUUUAUGGAUCAGAUUAGAGGGGCUCAGAUACAUUCAGCAAUUUGUCCAAAGUCACACAGCUUCCCAGUUACAGGGAUGGGAUUUGAAUCCAACUCUGAAUUAUGGACAAGUCUAUUCUUUUUACUGGACUGGAAUUCUGAUUAACUAGCCCAUCUCUCUCUAGGAACGUCUGUCACUCAGUUCGGGUAGAAUUUUCUCAAUGAGGAGAAAGGCUAUUGAGUGUUUGAUGAAACCUUCUCACUGUUUGCUCCCUCAAGGGAAAGGGAUUUCAAAAUACCUGGGCUAGUGGGUCAAGACUUCUUAAAGCAGGGAUCAGAGAGAAGCUGGAGAAUACAGGCAAAAGGAUACCUUUAUUAUUUGUAAAAUUUAAUAACAAUAAUAAUAAUGUCAUUUGUCAUCCAUUUAUCCUCAAGACCUAUGAUAAAAGACAAAAGAAUGAUGAUAAAAAUAAAAGCAUGUUAUCCUGGGUGGAAGAGAGUCCUACACUGGAAUUUCAGACACCUGGGUUCUAUCCAAGCAUAGCUCUUGUGCUCUUUAGCCUCAAUUUGAUCAUCUUUAUUUAUUACCCAAGGGGAAAAUACACACACACACACACACACACACACACACACACACACACGGUUAAGAUCAAGCUAGGAAGUCAGUUGUCCUAAAAAGAAAAAAAAAUUGGAAAAGCUCUAGGAAAAGCAGAAUGUGUAGUUCUGACUUAGAAAAUUGUCCCGAAGAAACACAACUGUAUGCUUUUUAUGCUUCCAUUUUUAAAAUUACAUAUAUAAAUUCUUAUUUAUAUUUGCAUAUGCAUAGGGAAGAAGUGUAUGGAAGGAUAUGUAUCUAUCUAUAUAUACACCAAACCGUGG
rnacentral:lncRNA from 1 species